rnacentral:lncRNA from 1 species
UUUCACUUCAUUUUUCCUAAUAUUUAUUUGUUGGCGAUUUCAAAUAUAAAUGCACACACGCGCUCUCUAAGAAAGUGUAGAAAUGCGGCAAUUGCGGACAAUUAUUGAGGACAUAAUGAUGGUUUUGUGGAAAGAGAUAUCAUGAUAGGCGGGUCCCAUGAUUAUACAAAAGAUCCGACAAAAUGUCGUAGUUGUGUUUCAGUGUGAUCUGCUGUCCCACGUGUUCG